UUUUUUAAUUGAGAACUAGAAUGAAUGGUUGAACAAAAUAUAUACUGUCUUAAAAUUAUUCAUUGAAUUUUAUUUUUUAGUAAAAAAGCUAAAAUAAAUUUAUAGGACGAGAAGACCCUAUAGAGUUUUAUAUUAUAUUAUUUAGAUACUAAAUUAAUUUUAGAAUUUUAAAGUUUAUUUAAUGUAAUAUUUAGUUGGGGUGAUAUUAAGAAUUAAUUAACUCUUAAAUUUUAAAGCCAUAAAUUAAUGAAUUUUUGAUCCAUUAUUAUUGAUUAAUAGAUUAAGUUACCUUAGGGAUAACAGCGUAAUAUUUUUUUAGAGUUCUUAUCGUCAAAAAAGUUUGC
rnacentral:rRNA from 1 species